rnacentral:rRNA from 1 species
UACGUAGGGUGCGAGCGUUAAUCGGAAUUACUGGGCGUAAAGCGUGCGCAGGCGGUCUGUUAAGACAGAUGUGAAAUCCCCGGGCUUAACCUGGGAACUGCAUUUGUGACUGGCAGGCUAGAGUUUGGCAGAGGGGGGUAGAAUUCCACGUGUAGCAGUGAAAUGCGUAGAGAUGUGGAGGAACACCGAUGGCGAAGGCAGCCCCCUGGGUCAAAACUGACGCUCAUGCACGAAAGCGUGGGGAGCAAACAGG